GUGAAGCUUUGGUGAACGACGAAUGGCACUUUAGUAAUUAAUAUGUUUUUCAUGGGCAUUAUGUUAACUGAUCCAACUCACUUUAGGUUCCCAAUUGUAUGCAAACCCAUGUGAUGCUCUGGCCAACUCUCUCUUUCACCUUUUGCAUGUAUCCAUUCUAGAAAGACAGAAGGUGAUAUUUGGCUUCACUCUUGUAAUUCUGUAAAUUUUGUAAUGCUGCAGCUCUUGGUGGUCCCAGUGGAUAGCUUCUUGAGCAAUAUGCUCAGGCCUUCCCACUGAAUGGAACUAAAUUGGCUUACAUUGAACUAGCCGGCAAGCAAUUCACUGUUUCUGGAAGUUUGGAAAGCAGAAAUACUGCACUCGAAUAAUACAAAGUUAGAUAAAAAUAUCAACCAUGUUCAAAAGUCUAUGGAUAGCUCUGUAGAGCUUAGCUUUCAAAAGGUUACCACAUAAAUUUACACCUUUUACUUACCCACUUGAUACAGCAUCAUGCUUUUGUUCCUCUGCCGUCGUUGCUGACUUGCUAUGGGUUUCCUCAUCGUUGCAUGUAGGAACGAACAAUAGUAAUUUUGAGGCUGACAUGCAUAGGCAAAGGUGAAACAAUUUCAUCGUCUGCUAGGAAACCUUGAGUUCUCUUGGUAGUGGAAUUUCGGCUAACCAAUAUAACUCAGAGACCUAAAAGUUGGAAGGAAGAGACUGAAGCUGAUGCAAGUCAAGAGAUAUUUGGAAGCUCUAGCUUCAGUCGUGCAAUACCUAUCAGAUGAUGUGCUUUUAGUUUCUGGUGAGUGCUCUCUCUAACAAAAUGAUUGGUAAACUGAAACUGUAGAUUGGAUCCAUGCUACUUUAUGUGCUCACAAGUUUGUGCUUCUCUCUUUCUUAUCUUGCAGUUCACAUCUAAAAGCAUGAUAUGAUCUUAGAGUUAUCAAAAUAGCCUUCGCAUUCUACAUUACAAAGAGUAGUUUAUCAAUGGCUUUGGCUCAAGAUCAUGACAACUUACGAGUUGCAUUUGGGGUAACUGUUGUCCUAAAUUAUUAGCUUUAGAAACGUUUGUUGGAUCUGUUACAUUAUAACAUUCUUUUGGUUUUAGAAUCUCUUAGAGGAAGCUAGGUAAACUUUGAGCAUUGUCUUCUGUUAAUAGUUUCUAUUAGUUGUUGAAGCAUUUUACCUGGUACAAAUUUAAGAUUUUACACCAUUAAAACAACACUCAUCAAUGAUGUUGUACAAUUUUUUGUUCAUUUAUACAAGAAGAAUGUUCACUUGUUUUGGAAGUGCAUCUACAGUUCAAAUGACACUUGAAGGUUCAAAUAUUACCUGUUGUGUCUUAGCACUGCACUCAACGCAUUCCACUACACCUGUUUGCCUUUUAAGUUCAUGUUGCAUUUUCAAAGAAGUGUAAGUAAAAACUAUUUAAAAAAAAAAAAAUCUGCAAUGUAUGAGGUCUUGAGACAAAAACUUGAUUGAAUUUUUCUUUUACAUCAUCUGGUAAUCUAGGCCUUAAAUUAUCAUGUUAAUUUCAAACUUGACAUGGUCUCACUAACAUCUAAGCCCCUGCCCUUGUAAUCCCACUUUCUUCAUUGCUCGACCAAAAAACAUGGGAUUUGGUUCCUUUUACAGGUCAUAUUUGAGCUGGCCAUUGUGAUAUAACUUUCAACAGAUAAUAGUCUAAAGAGCUUUUUAAGUGUGUUAUUAGGAAAAAUUAAUACAAUUAAUAAACUCCCUUCAUGUUUUCAUUUUUCUUUUUGUGGAGAUAAGUCUUACUUUAUGUUCUCCUUUUGCCUUCUUUAUAAGAAGGUGAAACAAGCACUCAAUAUUUUUUGUUAAACUUUUGAUAGAUUCAAUAUAUAUAUAUAUAUACGUGUUUUGUUGAAAUUGUACCUGCAUCAGGAUUGUCCCUUCUAAAGUCCUUGUCUUCUCUUAAAUCUGUCACAUUUGAACUCUGUUUAUGUAGAAAAUUAGAAAUAUAGGGUGAUAGAUAAAGCAAAUUAGAAAUAUAGGGUGAUAGAUAAAGCUCAAUGUCAUUCUCUGCAUCAACUAGCUCAUCGGCCCUAAAUGAUUAGACAGUAAGAUGUUUAAUUUAUGGUUAUUAGGCUUAAUUUUUAGAUGUAAUUGCUAAAGUUAUGAAGAAGAAACUUAAAAUCUUCCAAAAUAUGUCAAUUUGCCGCAAGUAAUUAAAAUUUAGUGAAGUAGGAUUACUCAGUAUAGUAGCUCUUUUUAGAGUUCAAUCGUUUCGUUAUGUUUGUUCAGCUUAAUAUUGUGUUGCUACUUCAUUGAAUCAGUAGAGAAGAAACUCUAUUCUUUUUGGAGUUGAGUCAUGGUAUUAGUGCCAUGAAAAAUUACUCAACGUUGAUAAAUUGCAAAGAUUAUUUUCUACUGCAGUUUACUUUACUUCUGUUGGAUCUGAUUGUGGAAAUACUCCUUUGUCUUGCCCACAUAGGUGAUAGUACCACUAUGCCAAUAAGACAAAAGGAAUGCUAAAGCCUAAGUGCAGUUCUAAUGAUUCUAUGUGAAGCUUAUAAGAAAUGUCUCUUCUAUUUAAUAUUUGUCACUGAAGUUUAGCCCUAAUGAUUUUAUUUUUCAUUUUCCCCAGAAUUUCUUAUUUGUAGUAUGAUGAAGAAAUUGUUUGAUGUGAAAAUAUUUAUGUCUCUUAUUGUGGUUUUUACUUUAUACAUAUAAUACAUGUAGACAUUGUAUGGAAAAGUUCGUUACAUGUAAUGCAAUUUGGCAUCUCAAUAUGCUUUUUGUGAACAUCAAAUGCCAUUUGACAUCUUAAUAUGAUUAUUUGUGAAGUAAAUACAAAUGUCCCACUUAUGAGUUAUAUUGCUCAAAGCAUUUGAACCUUGUACAUGUAUAAAUUCGUUUUUGUGGAUAUCAUGGGAAUCUUAACGUAAGAUGCCUACCGGAUUUGUGCUCCCUUUAUUAGCCUAAUAGAUAUCUACGCAAUUAUACUGUACAAUUGCUAUUCUUAGGUUCCUUAAAUUUUUACUUUAAUGUUUAUAUUCAGUGGACAUGGUUGAUGACAAGAUCUUAAAUUGUGUGAUUAUUUCUCCGAAUAUGUGAUCCUUUGCCUAUCCCUGUUACCAAGAGAAGUCUUCGUAUUUUUUUUUAAAUCUAUAUUUUUUAGUAUUCAACUAUUUUUUGACAGGCUCAUCAGUGAAAGGCAUUUUCAUGAUCCAAAAUUAUUAGAUGCGUCUACAAUUUGAUAGUGCAUCCAAUGUUGCUAUACUUUAUAUGCAUCAUGAACUUAAAGCUUAAUGCAACGGGUACUACUUGUUUGUUGAAACUUUUUCAUUAAUAAGAGUAACUGGAAGUCCCAUUUUGUGCAACAUCAUUCCGGUCUAACAUUUGUUGUUGGAGAUGAGAUAUUGAUGAACCAACAUGUAUUGAUUGGAAACAAAUGAAGAAUCACAGGUAUACAAUGUUUUCAUAUGUACAUUGUUGCAACUAUCAAUAUGUUGUUGAUAGUAUACUCUUACUUUCUGCCAUUGACUUCUCACUAAUUGGGGCUUCCGACAGUAGAAAUAAUUAGUGUCAAUACUCUUAAUACAUUUUAGAGCAAAUAUAAAGCAC